AACGAACGCUGGCGGCAGGCUUAACACAUGCAAGUCGAACGGGCGCGAGCAAUCGCGUCAGUGGCAGACGGGUGAGUAACGCGUGGGAACAUACCCUCCGGUUCGGAAUAGCUCAGGGAAACUUGGAUUAAUACCGGAUACGGCAGUCAAGAGAGAUCUUGGAGGCGAAAGAUUGUAUCGCCGGAGGAUUGGCCCGCGUUCGAUUAGCUAGUUGGUGAGGUAACGGCCCACCAAGGCGACGAUCGAUAGCUGGUCUGAGAGGAUGAUCAGCCACAUU
rnacentral:rRNA from 1 species